GGGAAACUUACCAAGGCCAAACAGAGGUGGGAUUGACAGAUUGAGAGCUCUUUCUUGAUUCUUUGGGUGGUGGUGCAUGGCCGUUCUUAGUUGGUGGAGUGAUUUGUCUGGUUAAUUCCGUUAACGAACGAGGGCUUAAUUUGACUCAACGCGGGAAAUCUCACCAGGCCCGGACACUGGAGAUUGAGCAAUAA
rnacentral:rRNA from 1 species